rnacentral:rRNA from 1 species
GCUCAGAUUGAACGCUGGCGGCAGGCCUAACACAUGCAAGUCGAGCGGUAACAGAUCUAGCUUGCUAGAUGCUGACGAGCGGCGGACGGGUGAGUAAUGCAUAGGAAUCUGCCCGAUAGUGGGGGAUAACCUGGGGAAACCCAGGCUAAUACCGCAUACGUCCUACGGGAGAAAGGGGGCUUUGGCUCCCGCUAUUGGAUGAGCCUAUGUCGGAUUAGUUAGUUGGUGAGGUAACGGCUCACCAAGACCGCGAUCCGUAGCUGGUCUGAGAGGAUGAUCAGCCACAUCGGGACUGAGACACGGCCCGAACUCCUACGGGAGGCAGCAGUGGGGAAUAUUGGACAAUGGGGGCAACCCUGAUCCAGCCAUGCCGCGUGUGUGAAGAAGGCCCUCGGGUUGUAAAGCACUUUCAGCGAGGAAGAACGCCUAUCGGUUAAUACCCGGUAGGAAAGACA